GACGGAGGAUGCAAGUGUUAUCCGGAAUCACUGGGCGUAAAGCGUCUGUAGGUGGUCAAAUAAGUCAACUGUUAAAUCUUGAGGCUCAACCUCAAAAUCGCAGUCGAAACUAUUCGACUAGAGUAUAGUAGGGGUAAAGGGAAUUUCCAGUGGAGCGGUGGAAAUGCGUAGAGAUUGGAAAGAACACCGAUAGCGAAGGCACUUUACUGGGCUAUUACUAACACUGAGAGACGAAAGCUAGGGUAGCAAAUGGG
rnacentral:rRNA from 1 species